AAAUUGAAGAGUUUGAUCAUGGCUCAGAUUGAACGCUGGCGGCAGGCCUAACACAUGCAAGUCGAGCGGUAGCACAGAGAGCUUGCUCUCGGGUGACGAGCGGCGGACGGGUGAGUAAUGUCUGGGAAACUGCCUGAUGGAGGGGGAUAACUACUGGAAACGGUAGCUAAUACCGCAUAAUGUCGAAAGACCAAAGUGGGGGACCUUCGGGCCUCAUGCCAUCAGAUGUGCCCAGAUGGGAUUAGCUAGUAGGUGGGGUAACGGCUCACCUAGGCGACGAUCCCUAGCUGGUCUGAGAGGAUGACCAGCCACACUGGAACUGAGACACGGUCCAGACUCCUACGGGAGGCAGCAGUGGGGAAUAUUGCACAAUGGGCGCAAGCCUGAUGCAGCCAUGCCGCGUGUGUGAAGAAGGCCUUCGGGUUGUAAAGCACUUUCAGCGGGGAGGAAGGCGGUGAGGUUAAUAACCUCAUCGAUUGACGUUACCCGCAGAAGAAGCACCGGCUAACUCCGUGCCAGCAGCCGCGGUAAUACGGAGGGUGCAAGCGUUAAUCGGAAUUACUGGGCGUAAAGCGCACGCAGGCGGUCUGUCAAGUCGGAUGUGAAAUCCCCGGGCUUAACCUGGGAACUGCAUUCGAAACUGGCAGGCUAGAGUCUUGUAGAGGGGGGUAGAAUUCCAGGUGUAGCGGUGAAAUGCGUAGAGAUCUGGAGGAAUACCGGUGGCGAAGGCGGCCCCCUGGACAAAGACUGACGCUCAGGUGCGAAAGCGUGGGGAGCAAACAGGAUUAGAUACCCUGGUAGUCCACGCCGUAAACGAUGUCGAUUUGGAGGUUGUGCCCUUGAGGCGUGGCUUCCGGAGCUAACGCGUUAAAUCGACCGCCUGGGGAGUACGGCCGCAAGGUUAAAACUCAAAUGAAUUGACGGGGGCCCGCACAAGCGGUGGAGCAUGUGGUUUAAUUCGAUGCAACGCGAAGAACCUUACCUGGUCUUGACAUCCACAGAACUUUCCAGAGAUGGAUUGGUGCCUUCGGGAACUGUGAGACAGGUGCUGCAUGGCUGUCGUCAGCUCGUGUUGUGAAAUGUUGGGUUAAGUCCCGCAACGAGCGCAACCCUUAUCCUUUGUUGCCAGCGGUUCGGCCGGGAACUCAAAGGAGACUGCCAGUGAUAAACUGGAGGAAGGUGGGGAUGACGUCAAGUCAUCAUGGCCCUUACGACCAGGGCUACACACGUGCUACAAUGGCAUAUACAAAGAGAAGCGACCUCGCGAGAGCAAGCGGACCUCAUAAAGUAUGUCGUAGUCCGGAUUGGAGUCUGCAACUCGACUCCAUGAAGUCGGAAUCGCUAGUAAUCGUAGAUCAGAAUGCUACGGUGAAUACGUUCCCGGGCCUUGUACACACCGCCCGUCACACCAUGGGAGUGGGUUGCAAAAGAAGUAGGUAGCUUAACCUUCGGGAGGGCGCUUACCACUUUGUGAUUCAUGACUGGGGUGAAGUCGUAACAAGGUAACCGUAGGGGAACCUGCGGUUGGAUCACCUCCUUA
rnacentral:rRNA from 1 species